CGUCGAGUGGCGGACGGGUGAGUAACGCGUGAGAAUCUGCCCAGUAGCGGGGGACAACCUGGUGAAAACCAGGCUAAUACCGCAUACGCCCUACGGGGGAAAGGCUUCGGCCACUAUUGGAUGAGCUCGCGUCGGAUUAGCUAGUUGGUGGGGUAAGGGCCUACCAAGGCAACGAUCCGUAGCUGGUUUGAGAGAAUGAUCAGCCACACUGGGACUGAGACACGGCCCAG
rnacentral:rRNA from 1 species